rnacentral:rRNA from 1 species
CACGUAGUUAGCCGGGGCUUUUUCUUAUGGUACCGUCAUUAUCUUCCCAUAUAAAAGAACUUUACGACUCGAAAGCCUUCUUUGUUCACGCGGCGUCGCUGCAUCAGAGUUCCCUCCAUUGUGCAAUAUUCCCCACUGCUGCCCCCCGUAGGAGUUUGGACCGUUUCUCAGUUCCAAUGUGGCCGUUCACCCUCUCAGGCCGGCUACCCAUCGUCGCCUUGGUAGGCCGUUACCUACCAACUAGCUAAUGGGACGCGAGUCCAUCUAGACCACGGAGUUUGAUCAUUAGUGCAUGUGCACCUAUGAUUUUAUCGGUAUUAAUCCCGGUUUCCGAGGCUAUCCCAAUGCUAAGGCAGGUUACUCACGUGUUACUCACCCGUCGCCGCUAAUCCAUUUGUCUUCACCCGAAGGAUCUGUCAAAAUUUCAAUCGCUCGACUUGCAUCGUGUUAAGCGUCGCCGCUA